rnacentral:rRNA from 1 species
AUACGGAGGGGGCUAGCGUUGUUCGGAAUUACUGGGCGUAAAGCGUACGUAGGCGGACUGAUCAGUUGGGGGUGAAAUCCCAGGGCUUAACCCUGGAACUGCCUUCAAUACUGUCAGUCUUGAGAUUGGAAGAGGUGAGUGGAAUUCCUAGUGUAGAGGUGAAAUUCAUAGAUAUUAGGAGGAACACCAGUGGCGAAGGCGGCUCACUGGUCCAAUUCUGACGCUGAGGUACGAAAGCGUGGGGAGCAAACAGGAUUAGAAACCCUAGUAGUCC